rnacentral:rRNA from 1 species
GCGCACGGGUGCGUAACGCGUAUGCAAUCUACCUUUCACAAAGGGAUAGCCCAGAGAAAUUUGGAUUAAUACCUCAUAGUAUAGCAGUUUCGCAUGAAACCACUAUUAAAGAUUUAUCGGUGAAAGAUGAGCAUGCGUCCCAUUAGCUAGUUGGUAAGGUAACGGCUUACCAAGGCAACGAUGGGUAGGGGUCCUGAGAGGGAGAUCCCCCACACUGGUACUGAGACACGGACCAGACUCCUACGGGAGGCAGCAGUGAGGAAUAUUGGACAAUGGGCGCAAGCCUGAUCCAGCCAUGCCGCGUGCAGGAUGACGGUCCUAUGGAUUGUAAACUGCUUUUAUACGAGAAGAAACCCUCCGACGUGUCGGAGCUUGACGGUAUCGUAAGAAUAAGGAUCGGCUAACUCCGUGCCAGCAGCCGCGGUAAUACGGAGGAUCCAAGCGUUAUCCGGAAUCAUUGGGUUUAAAGGGUCCGUAGGCGGUCAGGUAAGUCAGUGGUGAAAGCCCAUCGCUCAACGGUGGAACGGCCAUUGAUACUGUCUGACUUGAAUU